CGGCAACAGCUCAAAUUUGAAAUCUGGCCUCUUUCGGGGUCCGAGUUGUAAUUUGUAGAGGAUGUUUUGGGUACCGCGCUGGUUUAAAUUUCUUGGAACAGAACGUCAUAGAGGGUGAGAAUCCCGUCUAGAACCGAUAGCCACGUUCAUGUGAAACUCCUUCGAC
rnacentral:rRNA from 1 species